UGGCUACAUCAUGUUGAAACACCAGUCCCCAUACAAUCACUGAAGUUAAGCAACGUUGAGCCUGGUCAGUACCUAGAGGGUAACUAUUUGGGAAUACCAGGUGCUGUAAG